AUUGAACGCUGGCGGCAGGCCUAACACAUGCAAGUCGAGCGGAUGACGGGAGCUUGCUCCUGGAUUCAGCGGCGGACGGGUGAGUAAUGCCUAGGAAUCUGCCUGGUAGUGGGGGGCAACGUUUCGAAAGGAACGCUAAUACCGCAUAAGUCCUACGGGAGAAAGCAGGGGACCUUCGGGCCUUGCGCUAUCAGAUGAGCCUAGGUCGGAUUAGCUAGUUGGUGAGGUAAUGGCUCACCAAGGCGACGAUCCGUAACUGGUCUGAGAGGAUGAUCAGUCACAAUGGAACUGAGACACGGUCCAGACUCCUACGGGAGGCAGCAGUGGGGAAUAUUGGACAAUGGGCGAAAGCCUGAUCCAGCCAUGCCGCGUGUGUGAAGAAGGUCUUCGGAUUGUAAAGCACUUUAAGUUGGGAGGAAGGGCAGUAAGCGAAUACCUUGCUGUUUUGACGUUACCGACAGAAUAAGCACCGGCUAACUCUGUGCCAGCCGCCGCCGUAAGAC
rnacentral:rRNA from 1 species